rnacentral:rRNA from 1 species
AUACGGGAGGCAGCAGUAAGGAAUAUUGCGCAAUGGGCGACAGCCUGACGCAGCGACGCCGCGUGGGGGAUGAAGGUCUUCGGAUUGUAAACCCCUUUCGGCAGGGAAGAUGGAACGGGUAACCGUUCGGACGGUACCUGCAGAAGCAGCCACGGCUAACUUCGUGCCAGCAGCCGCGGUAAUACGAAGGUGGCAAGCGUUGUUCGGAUUUACUGGGCGUACAGGGAGCGUAGGCGGUUGGGUAAGCCCUCCGUGAAAUCUCCGGGCCUAACCCGGAAAGUGCGGAGGGGACUGCUCGGCUAGAGGAUGGGAGAGGAGCGCGGAAUUCCCGGUGUAGCGGUGAAAUGCGUAGAGAUCGGGAGGAAGGCCGGUGGCGAAGGCGGCGCUCUGGAACAUUUCUGACGCUGAGGCUCGAAAGCGUGGGGAGCAAACAGGAUUAGAUACCCCGGUAGC